rnacentral:rRNA from 1 species
AGACCCGAAACCCGGUGAUCUAGCCAUGGGCAGGUUGAAGGUUGGGUAACACUAACUGGAGGACCGAACCGACUAAUGUUGAAAAAUUAGCGGAUGACCUGUGGCUGGGGGUGAAAGGCCAAUCAAACCGGGAGAUAGCUGGUUCUCCCCGAAAGCUAUUUAGGUAGCGCCUCGUGAAUUCAUCUCCGGGGGUAGAGCACUGUUUCGGCUAGGGGGCCAUCCCGGCUUACCAACCCGAUGCAAACUGCGAAUACCGGAGAAUGUUAUCACGGGAGACACACGGCGGGUGCUAACGUCCGUCGUGAAGAGGGAAACAACCCAGACCGCCAGCUAAGGUCCCAAAGUCAUGGUUAAGUGGGAAACGAUGUGGGAAGGCCCAGACAGCCAGGAUGUUGGCUUAGAAGCAGCCAUCAUUUAAAGAAAGCGUAAUAGCUCACUGGUCGAGUCGGCCUGCGCGGAAGAUGUAACGGGGCUAAACCAUGCACCGAAGCUGCGGCAGCGACGCUGAUGCGUUGUUGGGUAGGGGAGCGUUCUGUAAGCCUGCGAAGGUGGCCUGUGAGGGUUGCUGGAGGUAUCAGAAGUGCGAAUGCUGACAUAAGUAACGAUAAAGCGGGUGAAAAGCCCGCUCGCCGGAAGACCAAGGGUUCCUGUCCAACGUUAAUCGGGGCAGGGUGAGUCGACCCCUAAGGCGAGGCCGAAAGGCGUAGUCGAUGGGAAACGGGUUAAUAUUCCCGUACUUGGUGUUACUGCGAAGGGGGGACGGAGAAGGCUAUGUUGGCCGGGCGACGGUUGUCCCGGUUUAAGCGUGUAGGUGUGUGUUCCAGGUAAAUCCGGUUCACUUUAACACUGAGGCGUGAUGACGAGGCACUACGGUGCUGAAGCA